rnacentral:rRNA from 1 species
GAUGAACGCUGGCGGCGUGCCUAAUACAUGCAAGUCGAGCGAACAGACGAGGAGCUUGCUCCUCUGAUGUUAGCGGCGGACGGGUGAGUAACACGUGGAUAACCUACCUAUAAGACUGGGAUAACUUCGGGAAACCGGAGCUAAUACCGGAUAACAUGUUGAACCGCAUGGUUCAACAGUGAAAGACGGUUUUGCUGUCACUUAUAGAUGGAUCCGCGCCGCAUUAGCUAGUUGGUAAGGUAACGGCUUACCAAGGCAACGAUGCGUAGCCGACCUGAGAGGGUGAUCGGCCACACUGGAACUGAGACACGGUCCAGACUCCUACGGGAGGCAGCAGUAGGGAAUCUUCCGCAAAGGGCGAAAGCCUGACGGAGCAACGCCGCGUGAGUGAAGAAGGUCUUCGGAUCGUAAAACUCUGUUAUUAGGGAAGAACAAAUGUGUAAGUAACUAUGCACGUCUUGACGGUACCUAAUCAGAAAGCCACGGCUAACUACGUG